rnacentral:rRNA from 1 species
UUCGCAAUGCCCGAAAGGGUGACGAAGCGACGCCGCGUGCGGGAAGAAGGCCUUCGGGUUGUAAACCGCUGUCGGGAGUUAAGAAAUGCAAGGGUGUUAACAGCAUCCUUGCUUGACUAAGGCUCCGGAGGAAGCCACGGCUAACUCUGUGCCAGCAGCCGCGGUAAUACAGAGGCGGCAAGCGUUGUUCGGAAUUAUUGGGCGUAAAGAGCACGUAGGCGGCUAUGUAAGUCGGUUGUGAAAGCCUUCCGCCCAACGGGAGAACAGCAUCCGAUACUGCAUGGCUUGAGUGCGGGAGGGGAGAGUGGAACUUCUGGUGGAGCGGUGAAAUGCGUAGAUAUCAGAAGGAACACCGGCGGCGAAGGCGACUCUCUGGCCCGUAACUGACGCUGAGUGUGCGAAAGCUAGGGGAGCAAACGGGAUUAGAUACCCCGGUAGUCCUAGCCGUAAACGAUGGGCACUAAGUAGAGGGGUUUU